UUUUUUCUCAAAGAAGGGAAGAGAAAAACGUCAAAAUCGAGAUAGCUCUCGAUCUUGACAAUUGCGUGGUCUGCCUUCCAAACCCUUAAUGCUUACUUACAUUGUGACGUCCAACCGUUACAAAUAAUAUUCAUACAUAAUUUCACUCUCACCUGUUCCUCCGGCCAAAACACUCUCCCUCAACUUCUCCUCUAAAACGAUAGCUAGCUAGCUUUCUCUUAAGCUAGCCAUCUAGGUAUUAAUUAGGUCGUAGCGAUGGCCGUGAUGAUGGGGUUGGAGAGGCUGGUAGUGACUUUAAAAUCUAAAAUAAGGUCCUUGAAGACGAAGAAACUUUAUGAUAAAAUCGAAAAGAGCGAGAGCAUGAGAUUUGAGAUAAGAAGCAGGAAGGCUCGAAAGCUUAUUGAAAAGACCUUGAAAACCGCCGAUUCGCCUAAGAGGCUGAGACCAUGAUCAAGACAACUACUAUACUUCAGCAGCUGCGUAGCUGGUGUACGUACGUUUCUGAUCAUCAUCCAAUGCUUGAAACAACAAGCAUAUAUGCUAGCUGGUUAAUUAAUUCGUAGUACUUUUUUUUAUGUACGUUAGCCAUUGCGCAUGGUUUAUAACUUUAUACGAUCGAGAUGCAGAGGAUUCCCCUCCGGCCUGAUCCCCUCUCUCUGUCUCUCAUCAGUACUGUGUCUUCUGCGAGUAAUUAAUUACUAAUUAAUUUAUGCGUAAA